rnacentral:lncRNA from 1 species
CGGUUAUUCACUAUUCGGUCUUCGGUCUUUAUUAUUCGGUCUUCGGUCCCGACCAAACAGACCAAAUAAAUUGCUAGAACUCAGAUUUAUGUUACUUCCAGUACUUGUUGAAUACAAACUACAUAGAGUACAGAGAUGCAUGUGUGUACAAAGGGGUGUGUGUACAGAGACAACAAAUGUUUGUAUAGAGGCGCCUGUGUACAUAAAUGCAUCAUCUUUCUCAUUCAACUCCUCAUGUUCAGAUUCCAGUAGAAAGCAUCUACAAAAAAAAUGUUACUUAUUAUUGAACCAUUCCUUCAUCUAACCAGUACAGACGAACAUACAAACUAACAAAGAUUAUAGGCUAGUACAUAAACCCGCAUGACACCAGUCUGCUAUGAAUAUACAAGCUGUGGUAUUUCAGAUAACGUGGUUAUUUUGGAGUAUUAAAAAAACAACCACAAACCUCUUUAUUUUUAACCAAGCAUGAAGAACAGCAGCUGACGUGUUCUGUUUCUUACAGAACAGCAGGUGCAGCACGGCUAGUAACCUCAAUGGAUUGUGAUGUUACGUCUAGCAUACAAGCUACAAAUUUUGUACGCCUUCAUACAAAUGUAUUUGGAUUAUUCUUUUAGCUGCCAGUUACAUCACAUAACUCCAAAAAUAAACAUAGUAAAUACCCGCAAGGCCAAAUGCCUCUAUGUUUUGCCGAUACUGCAAAGUACCAAAGUAUUUGUACACCGUGGUAUUUCGUGCUUACAGCUUCUAAUACUGUGGUUUCUGAGGACUAUGGUUUUCUAAAUAUUGUGCAUCCAAACACAGCCUAAUUGAUUCACAUAAAUGAAUAAGAAUCUGGACAUCACAUAUGCACACAGAGAGAUCAAGUACCUUGCUCACCUUCAGCUGCUAGGUAGAGCACCGGAAGAACAGCAGCCGGCGAUACGUCAACCAUCCUGGAAGAGGACGAGAGGUGGUGACGAACUGCAGCAGCCAAGAGCUACAAUUAUCGUCAGGAGAUGGAGCACCGUUGGCAGAUGGCUGCG